rnacentral:snRNA from 1 species
AUGCUCACUUCGGCAGCACAUAUACUAAAAUUAGGACGGUACAGAGAUGAUUAGCAUGGCCCCUGUGUAAGGAUGACACGUAAAUUCGUAAAGCAUUCCAUAUUUUU